UACGGAGGGAGCUAGCGUUGCUCGGAAUUACUGGGCGUAAAGGGCGCGUAGGCGGAUAUCUAAGUUGGGGGUGAAAUCCCGGGGCUCAACCUCGGAAUUGCCUUCAAAACUGGAUAUCUUGAGUUCGGGAGAGGUGAGUGGAACUCCGAGUGUAGAGGUGAAAUUCGUAGAUAUUCGGAAGAACACCAGUGGCGAAGGCGACUCACUGGCCCGAUACUGACGCUGAGGCGCGAAAGCGUGGGGAGCAAACAGG
rnacentral:rRNA from 1 species